GCGGGGGUUCCCGAGCCAGGUCUAAGGGGUAGGACUCAGAAUCCUAUGCUGUAGAGUCUGAUAAACGCAGACAGCUUCAUGGGUUCAAAUCCCAUCCCCCGCA
rnacentral:tRNA from 1 species